UACAGAGGUCCCCAAGCGUUGUUCGGAUUCACUGGGCGUAAAGGGUGCGUAGGUGGUGGUGGAAGUUCGAUGUGAAAUCUCCGGGCCUAACCCGGAAACGGCAUUGAAAACUCCACUGCUGGAGGAUCGGAGGGGAGACUGGAAUUCUCGGUGUAGCAGUGAAAUGCGUAGAUAUCGAGAGGAACACCAGUGGCGAAAGCGAGUCUCUGGACGAAACCUGACACUGAGGCACGAAAGCUAGGGGAUCAAACAGGAUUAGAUACCCGGGUAGU
rnacentral:rRNA from 1 species